UGAGUAACACGUAUCCAACCUGCCGUCUACUCUUGGACAGCCUUCUGAAAGGAAGAUUAAUACAAGAUGGCAUCAUGAGUCCACAUGUUCACAUGAUUAAAGGUAUUCCGGUAGACGAUGGGAUGCGUUCCAUUAGAUAGUAGGCGGGGUAACGGCCCACCUAGUCUUCGAUGGAUAGGGGUUCUGAGAGGAAGGUCCCCCACAUUGGAACUGAGACACGGUCCAA
rnacentral:rRNA from 1 species